rnacentral:lncRNA from 1 species
UUUCUCUCACUGCUCAACAUGUCAGUAUUAUUCCUGUGUCACUCAACUGUUUCUGUUUUUUGUUUAUUUAAGAGUUUGAUAUUUUUUCUCCUUUUUUUUUGUUUUUUUGUUUGUGGUUGGGGUUUGUGUGUGUAGUUUUUUGUUUUGUUUUAAAACUUUCUCUCCAUUUCAAUAGCAUGCCCUUCUUAUUCCAUUCCAUUAAUUGGACUUUUUUUCCGGUCCACAGUAUCUGAUCUCUCAUCCAGGACAUCACACUCUUCUGAUGCAGCCUCUUACUCACUACAACAACCUGUUUCAAUAAAAAUUCUGGCUGCUAAAAUCACUUUUCUCCCAUCCAACCACAUCAGCCUCCACCCACAGUAUUUUCACUGGCUCACAUUUCUUCUUCACAUUUCCUCAUGCUAUACUCGCUUUCAAGGGUACAAUAAAUUCUAGCUCUAUUUGGUUUUGUGUUUUUGGAUCUCUUUCCAAACCUCCAAGUCUGAUAACAAUCACCCUGGAUUUCCAUUUAUUCCUUUCUUUUAUAGCCUCUCCCAUUUUUACUUGCACUGUGCUCUGAACAUUACAGUCUAUAUUGGGGACAUUACAUUAAAGUCAGGCCCCCCUUGUUACCAUUAAAAUAAAAUAAAAAUAUACUUUCCAUGAGUUUUGUUUAGGAGAGUGGCAGCAGAAGAAAUCCAAAUGACAGUGUCCACAUCAACUAGGUGACCUGAAUAACUGUUUGAUCAAGAUCAAAAAAAGCAAUCAUUAUUUGGAAGCUUCUAUUACCAGUUUAUUAACUCAGGGAACUGUACAAUACAAGUAACUAUUUUACAUAUUUUUACUAUUGCUUUACCCUGAAAUGCUAUCCUGAUUUGGGAAAAAAGCACAAGAGAAUGAAAUCUUUGCAACCAACCAAACUAUCCCUGUCUCAACCAUAUCAUGAACUUUUCCUAACAAAUCCCUCCAUUUCCAUCAAGUGGCCAAUCAGAACCGUGAACUACAGUAAUUUCACUUCUUUAAAGCACUCUAUUGUUCUCAGUUUUCACCUUAGACAACAACAUCGUUUCUACACAGAAAAUUCACAUUCUUCCUGCUUUUGUUGCACAUGACAAAAUUACAGAAAAGACCAGCCCUACUGGAAUUUAUCAAUCAACAGAGCAUUCUUCUUGCAAACUACAAAAAACACUCUGUCUUAUAUCCUGGCACUAUGGAGCUCCCAGUACAAUCCCUGGAAGGAGAACAAACUCUCUGCGGCAUGCUCAGUACAGUGGACGGAUUUCCCCCUUCCUGCCCUCUUCUAGCUGUGAUAAACAAACACCAAAGCAAAGUCAUGCUGUAGAAGAAGGAAAAACAAAACAGAACACAGUAGAUUUCAACAUUAAUAAUA